UGGGGUUAUAAACUCACGAGAGCUCGCUCUCUCGGCACACGUGAUUACUUCGAUAACUUGGGAGCCAACCGCUAGUCGAAGAGCGCUGCAUUCAACAGGCGAAGCGGUUAUUGAACACGCAUACGGAAACUGAAGGCCGAGGUAAUUCAGUCGACAAGCAACUGACACAUUUUGAUCGAGAACAAGAAGAAGAGAUGACGUCCUGGGGUUACGGAAAAAAUAACGGACCCGCCACUUGGGGCCAAUCGUUCCAGCACGCCGCGGGAGAUUGCCAGUCGCCGAUAGACCUCAAAGACACUGUAGUUGACAGCGAGCUGGCGGCACGCCCUCUAGUGUUCAACUACCCCACCGCCAGAUGCACGAACAUCUCGAACACCGGGUACUCGUUUAAGGUGGACAU